UGGGGACCCAUGAAAGUGGCCAACAGUGUCACUGAGUUUAUAUUCCUGGGACUUUCCCAAGAUUCUGGAAUGCAAUUGGAUUUUUAUCUGAAAUCUACAAGUUAUGAAAAAUAUAAGUGAUGUAUAUUCUCUUCUACUCUUCAUAUAUGGAAUAGAGGGGCUUGCACAGUAGUAAGAAAAAAAUGGCUGAGACCCACAGGAAUAAAGAAACAAGACAGGAGUUAGAUGCAGAGAAGAGAUUUCAACAAAAGUUUG